UAGGGAAUAUUGGUUAAUGUGCGAAAGCGCGAACCAGCAACGCCGCGUGUGCGAAGAAGGCCUUCGGGUCGUAAAGCACUUUUUGAAGGGAUGAGGAAGGACAGUACCUUCAGAAUAAGCCUCGGCUAACUACGUGCCAGCAGCCGCGGUAAAACGUAGGAGGCAAGCGUUAUCCGGAUUUACUGGGCGUAAAGCACGUGCAGGCGGUUCAGAAAGUUGGAUGUGAAAGCUCCUGGCUUAACUGGGAGAGGUCGUUCAAUACUUCUGGACUAGAGGAUAGGAGAGGGAGGUGGAAUUCCGGGUGUAGUGGUGAAAUGCGUAGAUAUCCGGAGGAACACCAGUGGCGAAAGCGGCCUCCUGGCCUAUUUCUGACGCUCAGACGCGAAAGCUAGGGUAGCAAACGG
rnacentral:rRNA from 1 species